CCUAUUUCUAAAGAGAAUGCUAUAAUUUUUUUUUUCAUAAUUCAUCAUGACUAGCCAGUGAAGCCCCUAGAUCAAGCAAUCUUUUUGAUCAAGUUUGUAACAUGCCACAAAGGAGCCAAACACAUUUGGGCUAUAGCUCAUGACCCCUUCUGAUUUCAGUAUCACUCUUUGGAUGUGAUUUCAUUCUGCUGGCCCAUGUGGCAGCUGUGAUAUUCAUCAUCACAAAAUGUUGUCUGUUUCAUUUCUGAAAGUUUUAUAAAAUAGGAAAGAAGACAAAAAGAGA
rnacentral:lncRNA from 1 species